rnacentral:rRNA from 1 species
AUACGGAGGAUCCGAGCGUUAUCCGGAUUUAUUGGGUUUAAAGGGUGCGCAGGCGGCCAUUUAAGUCAGCGGUUAAAUCGUGGGGCUCAACCCCAUUCUGCCGUUGAUACUGGGUGGCUUGAUUGCGGUCGAGGUUGGCGGAAUUCGUUGUGUAGCGGUGAAAUGCAUAGAUAUGACGAAGAACACCGAUUGCGUAGGCAGCUGACCAGACCGCAAAUGACGCUCGUGCACGAAAGUGCGGGGAUCGAACAGGAUUAGAUACCCUGGUAGUCCGCACAGUAAACGAUGAAUACUUGUUUUCGGCGAUAUAAUGUCGGAGGCAAAGCGAAAGCGAUAAGUAUUCCACCUGGGGAGUACGCCGGCAACGGUGAAACUUAAAGGAAUUGACGGGG